rnacentral:SRP_RNA from 1 species
GUUCGGGUCCUGUGCAUCGGCCGUUCUCGAACCGCGUCAGGCCCGGAAGGGAGCAGCGCUAAGGGAUCCGGCCGAGUGCCGCAGACCAACCGGAACCC